rnacentral:rRNA from 1 species
UGUGUUGGUGAUGGCGUGCCUUUUGAAGAAUGAGCCUGCGAGUUAUGGUGUGUGGCGAGGUUAACCGGUGGCGGGUAGCCGUAGCGAAAGCGAGUCUGAAGAGGGCGUAAUAGUCGCAUGCUGUAGACCCGAAGCGGGGUGAUCUAGCCAUGGGCAGGGUGAAGCGCCGGUAAGACGGUGUGGAGGCCCGAACCCACCAGGGUUGAAAACCUGGGGGAUGACCUGUGGUUAGGGGUGAAAGGCCAAUCAAACUCCGUGAUAGCUGGUUCUCCCCGAAAUGCAUUUAGGUGCAGCGUCGCGUGUUUCUUGCCGGAGGUAGAGCUACUGGAUGGCUGAUGGGCCCUACCAGGUUACUGACGUCAGCCAAACUCCGAAUGCCGGUAAGUGAGAGCGUGGCAGUGAGACUGCGGGGGAUAAGCUUCGUAGUCGAGAGGGAAACAGCCCAGAUCAUCGGCUAAGGCCCCUAAGCGUGUGCUAAGUGGGAAAGGAUGUGGAGUUGCCGUGACAACCAGGAGGUUGGCUUAGAAGCAGCCAUCCUUGAAAGAGUGCGUAAUAGCUCACUGGUCAAGUGAUUCCGCGCCGACAAUGUAGCGGGGCUCAAGCACACCGCCGAAGCCGUGGCAUUCCAGCGUUUGUUGGGAUGGGUAGGGGAGCGUCCUGCAGCCGGUGAAGCCGCCGAGUGAUCGAGUGGUGGAGGCUGUGGGAGUGAGAAUGCAGGCAUGAGUAGCGAAUGGAGAGUGAGAAACUCUCCCGCCGGAUGACCAAGGGUUCCUGGGGCAGGCUAAUCCGCCCAGGGUAAGUCGGGACCUAAGGCGAGGCCGACAGGCGUAGUCGAUGGACAACGGGUUGAUAUUCCCGUACCCGCUGGUAUGCGCCAACGCUGAAUCCUCUGAUGCUAAGACCCCGAAUCCUGGUUGGGGCCUUCGGGCUUCUUUCAGGCCUAGCGGUCGACCCGAGGGGGUAGUAGGUGAGUGAUGGGGUGACGCAGGAGGGUAGCUCAGCCCAGGCGAUGGUUGUCCUGGGGUAAGCAUGUAGCCUGGUGUGCAGGUAAAUCCGCAUGCCGUUAAGGGUGAGAUGUGAUGCCGAGCCGUUUUAGGUGAAGUGAGUGAUCCCAUGCUGCCGAGAAAAGCCUCUAGCGAGUGUAUCGGCGGCCCGUACCCUAAACCGACUCAGGUGGUCAGGUAGAGAAUACCGAGGCGAUCGGGUGAACUGUGGUUAAGGAACUCGGCAAAUUGCCCCCGUAACUUUGGGAGAAGGGGGACCACGUCUGGUGAUCCGUUUUGCACGGGGAGCUGGGUGUGGUCGCAGAGGCCAGGGGGAAGCGACUGUUUACUAAAAACACAGGUCCGUGCGAAGUCGUAAGACGCUGUAUACGGACUGACGCCUGCCCGGUGCCGGAACGUUAAGAGGACCGGUUAGACUCUUCGGGGUCGAAGCUGAGAAUCUAAGCGCCGGUAAACGGCGGUGGUAACUAUAACCAUCCUAAGGUAGCGAAAUUCCUUGUCGGGUAAGUUCCGACCUGCACGAAUGGCGUAACGACUUCCCCGCUGUCUCAACCACAGGCCCGGUGAAAUUGCAGUACGAGUAAAGAUGCUCGUUUCGCGCAGCAGGACGGAAAGACCCCGGGACCUUCACUAUAGCUUGGCAUUGGCGUUUGGAACGGUUUGUGUAGGAUAGGUGGGAGACUGUGAAGCCCGCACGCCAGUGUGGGUGGAGUCGUUGGUGAAAUACCACUCUGGUCGUUUUGAGCGUCUAACCCGCGCCCGUGUAUCCGGGUGGGGGACAGUGCCUGGUGGGUAGUUUAACUGGGGCGGUUGCCUCCUAAAGGGUAACGGAGGCGCCCAAAGGUUCCCUCAGCCUGGUUGGCAAUCAGGUGGCGAGUGCAAGGGCACAAGGGAGCUUGACUGUGAGACGGACGUGUCGAGCAGGUGCGAAAGCAGGGCCUAGUGAUCCGGCAUCUACGUGUGGAAGUGGUGUCGCUCAACGGCUAAAAGGUACCCCGGGGAUAACAGGCUGAUCUUCCCCAAGAGUCCAUAUCGACGGGAUGGUUUGGCACCUCGAUGUCGGCUCGUCGCAUCCUGGGGCUGGAGUAGGUCCCAAGGGUUGGGCUGUUCGCCCAUUAAAGCGGCACGCGAGCUGGGUUUAGAACGUCGCGAGACAGUUCGGUCCCUAUCCGCUGCGCGCGUAGGAGAAUUGAGAGGGUCUGUCCCUAGUACGAGAGGACCGGGACGGACGAACCUCUGGUGUGCCAGUUGUCCCGCCAGGGGCACGGCUGGUUGGCUACGUUCGGUCGGGAUAACCGCUGAAAGCAUCUAAGCGGGAAGCCUUCCUCGAGAUGAGUUCUCCCUCCCUGCCUUUGGUGGGGGUAAGGCUCCCAAUAGACGAUUGGGUUGAUAGGCCGGGUAUGGAAGCGCGGUAACGUGUGGAGUUGACCGGUACUAAUAGGCCGAGUGGCUUGAACACAC